rnacentral:rRNA from 1 species
UACAGAGGUCCCGAGCGUUGUUCGGAUUCACUGGGCGUAAAGGGUGCGUAGGUGGUGAGGUAAGUCGGAUGUGAAAUCUCCAAGCUCAACUUGGAAAUGGCAUUGGAAACUACCAUGCUCGAGGGUUUGAGGGGGGACUGGAAUACUUGGUGUAGCAGUGAAAUGCGUAGAUAUCAAGUGGAACACCAGUGGCGAAGGCGAGUCCCUGGAAAACUCCUGACACUGAGGCACGAAAGCUAGGGGAGCAAACAGG